AGUGAACGCUGGCGGUAGGCCUAACACAUGCAAGUCGAACGGCAGCACAGUAAGAGCUUGCUCUUACGGGUGGCGAGUGGCGGACGGGUGAGGAAUACAUCGGAAUCUACUUUUUCGUGGGGGAUAACGUAGGGAAACUUACGCUAAUACCGCAUACGACCUACGGGUGAAAGCAGGGGAUCUUCGGACCUUGCGCGAUUGAAUGAGCCGAUGUCGGAUUAGCUAGUUGGCGGGGUAAAGGCCCACCAAGGCGACGAUCCGUAGCUGGUCUGAGAGGAUGAUCAGCCACACUGGAGCUGAGACACGGUCCAGACUCCUACGGGAGGCAGCAGUGUGGAAUAUUGGACAAUGGGCGCAAGCCUGAUCCAGCCAUACCGCGUGGGUGAAGAAGGCCUUCGGGUUGUAAAGCCCUUUUGUUGGGAAAGAAAAGCAGCAGGUUAAUACCCCGCUGUUCUGACGGUACCCAAAGAAUAAGCACCGGCUAGCUUCGUG
rnacentral:rRNA from 1 species